GGCACGCUCUGGUUGCUCCUGCACAAUUAUUGAACAACAAUUUUGCGCUGAUUAUGAGAACACUCAAUUCAAGUACCCAUGAGCUUGAGUUGAGUUGUCAAAUAAUAUUCCUGAAGAACAUUACAAGUUACAUAGAACCAAUAAAUUUUAUAAUUGAAAUCCAUAUGGCAUAGCACUUUAAUUACGCAAACAAUUGAUCAAUAGCUGUGAAGCAGAUCAAGCAAGAUCACAUAGCAAUACUGUUUCUAAUCACCAAUCAACAACUCUUCAAUUCAAUGCACACAUUUUCUAUUGACUUAAGUGGAUUAUAAGUACUCUUUCUCUGUCCCAUGUGAGGAAAUUCCCCUUUCAUAUUUUCUUUGUGGAACUUCUUACUAGAGAAAAACAGAACUUUACAAGGAAUGCCAAUCUGG
rnacentral:misc_RNA from 1 species